rnacentral:misc_RNA from 1 species
GCAAACUUGGUCAUUUAGAGGAAGUAAAAGUCGUAACAAGGUCUCCGUAGGUGAACCUGCGGAGGGAUCAUUACCAAUUGCUUUUCGGAGCGUCAAACCUGUUUAUUCACCUGUUGCUUAGGCGGUGCCCCUGGGAGGGGAGCUGCGAUGCGGUCUUCCGCGAAGCCGCCGCCGAAAGCCCACCUUACUAUCUUUAUGAUGUUCUGUCAAACAAAAAACAUUAAAACCUCAACAACGGAUCUCUUGGUUACAGCAUCGAUGAAGAACGCAGC